AGCAGCCGCGGUAAUUCCAGCUCCAAUAGCGUAUAUUAAAGUUGUUGCAGUUAAAAAGCUCGUAGUUGAAUUUCGGGAUCAAUCUGCCGGUCGUGCCUCCGGUAUGCACUGGUUUUAUUGGUUUCUCCCUUCUGACGAAUCAUGAUGUCACUAAUUUGGUGUCAUGGGGAAUCAGGACUGUUACUUUGAAAAAAUUAGAGUGUUUAAAGCAGGCUCACGCUUGAAUACAUUAGCAUGGAAUAAUGAAAUAGGACGUUUGACCCUAUUUUGUUGGUUUCUAGGAUCGACGUAAUGAUUAAUAGGGAUAGUUGGGGGCAUUAGUAUUCAAUUGUCAGAGGUGAAAUUCUUGGAUUAUUGAAGACUAACUACUGCGAAAGCAUUUGCCAAGGAUGUUUUCAUUAAUCAAAGAACGAAAGUUAGGGGAUCGAAGACGAUCAGAUACCGUCGUAGUCUUAACCAUAAACUAUGCCGACUAGGGAUCGGAUGAUGUUAUUUUUUAAUGACUCAUUCGGCACCUUAC
rnacentral:rRNA from 1 species